rnacentral:sRNA from 1 species
GCUGAGUGUGGUGGUGGGCGCCUGUAAUCCCAGCUACUCGGGAGGCUGAGGCAGGAGAAUCCCAUGAACCCGGGAGGCGGAGGUUGCAGUGAGCCGAGAUUGCGCCACUGCACUCCAGCUGGGGCGACAGAGGGAGACUGUAUCUCAAAAAUAAAUAAAUAAUUAAAAACAAAAAUAUAAGAAUUUUUAUUUUCUUUCUAUUUUUUUCUCUUUUUUUUGAGAUGGAGUCUUGCUCUGUCACCCAGGCUGGAGUGCAGUGGCACAAUCUCGGCUCACUGCAACCUCCACCUCCUGGGUUCAAGUGAUUCUCCUGCCUCAG